rnacentral:lncRNA from 1 species
CUUUCAGCAUGUGAACACCACAUGGGAAAGAAGCUGGCAUUGAACUUAGGUUUCCAGAGCAUCUAUUAUGGUCUGCACCCUCCUGGGAAACGGGUAUAUGUUAUCUAUGGUAAUUGACACAAGGAUACUACGAAACAGGCGAUUUUAUCACCAUUUGUUAAAUUAAGAAAGAAAUUGGCUUAAGCAAUGCAGGCAGUUUUGCAAACAAGGCUCUGAACUUGAAGCUCAGAGGGUGAGCGAGGCCUCGUGCCCCCAGGGCCUCUGCUUGCUCCAUGUUGGUGCCCCAACGUCCAGGGAUGCAAAGCACAGAGGACCCUUAGAGGCCACACCUGGAAGUGCUCAUUCAAUGGACCGAGGGAUGAAAGUGAGGAGAGCGUUAGGGGAGCUGUGCACAGUAAGUAGGGGCUGGAAUGGGAUGUGACCCAGGACAUCCUGGUUAGAUUUGGCCAGGAGAGCUGUGAAAAUAGGGGAAGCUGGUCCCCAAACCCCACACCCUUUUAAAAAAUCAAUCCUGGUGGGCGCAGUGGCAGAAGGACCUGAGUUUGUUACAAAGACCUCAGCAAUCCUCUCCCUCUCCUGACCUGUAAACACCAAGAGCCGGAGACAAUGCAAGUGUCAGACGCUUCUCCACCCGCAAUGAGGCCUGGGAAGCCCAAGUUGAUUGGCUUUCUUUCCAGGAAGGCAGAGCCCAGACGCACUUCAAGGUGGGUAUUUCUGUUUGUUUUCUCCUCAAGGAAAGCACAGCUGAAGGGCUCACGUAUUCCACACCCUCUUUUCAAGGCUCAUUAAUAAGGAGCCCAGGGCAAAAUCAUACAUGUGGCAAACUCCACAACCACCAAGGCCGGCAGAGCAGUGAGAGCUGCAUUAAUGGGGAAUUUCAGUGAAAUGCCGCCCAGCUCCUAAAUUCAUACCAGAUGAGUUCCAGAAGAUUAAAGUU